GCCUUCGUGGUGUAAUGGGCAGCACACUGAGCCGGUAUUUCAGAGGUCCGUGGUUCGAUUCCCGGCGAAGGAA
rfam:Stegodyphus mimosarum contig28527, whole genome shotgun sequence.